rnacentral:rRNA from 1 species
UGAAUUAGCGCCCGGAAUUCCCCUUAGAGUUUGAUCAUGGCUCAGAUUGAACGCUGGCGGCAGGCCUAACACAUGCAAGUCGAGCGGUUGACGGGAGCUUGCUCCCUGAUUCAGCGGCGGACGGGUGAGUAAUGCCUAGGAAUCUGCCUAUUAGUGGGGGACAACGUUUCGAAAGGAACGCUAAUACCGCAUACGUCCUACGGGAGAAAGCAGGGGACCUUCGGGCCUUGCGCUAAUAGAUGAGCCUAGGUCGGAUUAGCUAGUUGGUGAGGUAAUGGCUCACCAAGGCGACGAUCCGUAACUGGUCUGAGAGGAUGAUCAGUCACACUGGAACUGAGACACGGUCCAGACUCCUACGGGAGGCAGCAGUGGGGAAUAUUGGACAAUGGGCGAAAGCCUGAUCCAGCCAUGCCGCGUGUGUGAAGAAGGUCUUCGGAUUGUAAAGCACUUUAAGUUGGGAGGAAGGGUUGUAGAUUAAUACUCUGCAAUUUUGACGUUACCGACAGAAUAAGCACCGGCUAACUCUGUGCCAGCAGCCGCGGUAAUACAGAGGGUGCAAGCGUUAAUCGGAAUUACUGGGCGUAAAGCGCGCGUAGGUGGUUUGUUAAGUUGGAUGUGAAAGCCCCGGGCUCAACCUGGGAACUGCAUCCAAAACUGGCAAGCUAGAGUACGGUAGAGGGUGGUGGAAUUUCCUGUGUAGCGGUGAAAUGCGUAGAUAUAGGAAGGAACACCAGUGGCGAAGGCGACCACCUGGACUGAUACUGACACUGAGGUGCGAAAGCGUGGGGAGCAAACAGGAUUAGAUACCCUGGUAGUCCAGGGCGA